AGCGAACGCUGGCGGCGUGCCUAACACAUGCAAGUCGAACGUGAAAAGGGAAACCUGAGUAUAGUGGCGUACGGGUGAGUCACGCGUAGGUAAUCUACCCCAGAAUCUGGAAUAACCUGCCGAAAGGCGGGCUAAUACUGGAUAGAGCGAGGGAACUCGUAAGAGAGUUUUUCGGGAAAGGGAGCCCGCAAGGGCCUUCGUUCUGGGAUGAGCCUGCGUCUCAUUAGCUAGUUGGUAAGGUAACGGCUUACCAAGGCGAUGAUGAGUAGCUGGUCUGAGAGGAUGAUCAGCCACAAUGGGACUGAAACACGGUCCAGACUCCUACGGGAGGCAGCAGUGGGGAAUCUUGCGCAAUAGACGAAAGUCUGACGCAGCCACGCCGCGUGAGUGAAGAAGGCCUUCGGGUUGUAAAGCUCUGUCGGAUGGGACGAACAUCUUCAUAGUGAAUAGCUAUGAGGACUGACGGUACCAACAAAGGAAGCACCGGCUAACUCCGUG
rnacentral:rRNA from 1 species